AUUGAACGCUGGCGGCAUGCCUUACACAUGCAAGUCGAACGAUAACAGGUCUUCGGAUGCUGACGAGUGGCGAACGGGUGAGUAAUACAUCGGAACGUGCCUAGUAGUGGGGGAUAACUACUCGAAAGAGUGGCUAAUACCGCAUGAGAUCUACGGAUGAAAGCAGGGGAUCGCAAGACCUUGUGCUACUAGAGCGGCCGAUGGCAGAUUAGGUAGUUGGUGGGAUAAAAGCUUACCAAGCCGACGAUCUGUAGCUGGUCUGAGAGGACGAUCAGCCACACUGGGACUGAGACACGGCCCAGACUCCUACGGGAGGCAGCAGUGGGGAAUUUUGGACAAUGGGCGCAAGCCUGAUCCAGCAAUGCCGCGUGCGGGAUGAAGGCCUUCGGGUUGUAAACUGCUCUUGUACGGAACGAAAAGCCCUGGGUUAAUACCCUGGGGUCAUGACGGUACCGUAAGAAUAAGCACCGGCUAACUACGUGCCAGCAGCCGCAGUAAGAC
rnacentral:rRNA from 1 species